GGAUAGCCGAGGAGUGCCAGUCGGAGUGUGCUCGCUGACCGACGAUGAUACCAAGUGGCUGCCAAACGAACUCAAUCGAAAUCAUCAUUUGCCAGAGAUUUGUGAAGCAGCAGACCAUGAAUUUCCAGUGUUAUGCUAUUGGUUUAUUCAACCCUCAGCUUGACAAUCUAAAACUACAAUGUACCAGUGCAUAGAAAUGGUUUUCAAUGGAAGAAGAGGACCAAACAGGAGACCAAAUCCCAGAGUCCUGCAAUGGUGGUUUAAGAACUUGAAGAGAAGACUUGACAUGGAAGAGAGCAUGGCUCCUAAUGUAUGUACCUUGCCUCAUCUGUAGAUGGAUAAGUGGAUGAAGGAGGAUAGCUAGUCACCAACAUCUGCCACCAGCAUUGAGAUGAUGUAGGCUAUCUCUGGAGCCAUGGUCUAGAGUGCCUGGAUAUCAAAGCUGCCAACCCAUAUAAUGUUUGAGACUGUUCCAGCUCACUUUAAUGUUGAGGACCCAUCAUGAGGGCUAGCCCAGUAGCCACUGCCUACAUCUACUCACCCUAGAGGAGGCAUCUCAAAAGUCUAAAGAUCCAGCCUUCUCCCUUCUUCUUCAACCAUGGAAUACCAAGCCAUCAACCCCAAAAAUUGUGUUUGAGCCAGUCCUAGGACCCUUCAGCAGCAAAGACCUCAUCAUGAAGGCCAGCCCAUCUACCAUUGCCAACAUUCUGUCGCCUUAGAGGCCUAAUCUCAUUAGUGUAUUGGUGAUCAAAAGGCAAACUCCAAGGCCCUCUAACAAGUCAACAGACAAGGAAAAGCAGAGAUGUGCUUCGACAACAUUGCCAGGAUGUGGUUCGACCUUACCAAGCUAUCCGUUGUUUUCCCCAAGCCUACAGCUAUGAAGAGGUACUUUGCCAGGCCCAUCUUUCUAUAGAUCCAAAAAAGCUGUGGAGAGUCUGGCUGACGUGUCCUGAGAAAGACUGCAACAGGCAGUUCUUGGUGAUCUUCUUGGGCAUCUACCGAAGAGUCUGAUGUUCCACACCAAAGUGGCACCAAAAAAAAUUCUAGAGAGUUUCCAAAAAAAAAAAGAAGACUUCUAAAGCUUUAAAAUUUUCAGUGUAUAAUCUGUAAAUUUUUGAAAUGACUUCAGUUUUUCAUUAAACGUUUGAAAUUA